UGGGGAAUAUUGGACAAUGGGCGCAAGCCUGAUCCAGCAAUGCCGCGUGUGUGAAGAAGGCCUUCGGGUUGUAAAGCACUUUUAUCAGGAGCGAAACGCUGUCGGCUAAUACCCGGCGGAACUGACGGUACCUGAGGAAUAAGCACCGGCUAACUUCGUGCCAGCAGCCGCGGUAGUACGAAGGGUGCAAGCGUUAAUCGGAAUUACUGGGCGUAAAGCGUGCGUAGGCGGUUUCUUAAGUCUGCUGUGAAAUCCCCGGGCUCAACCUGGGAAUGGCAGUGGAUACUGGGAGGCUAGAGUGUGUCAGAGGGUGGUGGAAUUCCCGGUGUAGCGGUGAAAUGCGUAGAGAUCGGGAGGAACAUCAGUGGCGAAGGCGGCCACCUGGGACAACACUGACGCUGAGGCACGAAAGCGUGGGGAGCAAACAGGAUUAGGAUACCCUGGUAGUCCACGCCCUAAAGCGAUGCGAACUGGAUGUUGGUCUCAACUCGGAGAUCAGUGUCGAAGCUAACGCGUUAAGUUCGCCGCCUGGGGAGUACGGUCGCAAGACUGAAACUCAAAGGAAUUGACGGGGUCAUAGCUGUUUCC
rnacentral:rRNA from 1 species